UACAGGAGGGGCAAGCGUUGUUCGGAAUUACUGGGCGUAAAGGGCGCGUAGGCGGCCUGCUAAGUCGAACGUGAAAUCCCCGGGCUCAACCCGGGAACUGCGUCCGAUACUGGUAGGCUUGAAUUCGGGAGAGGGAUGCGGAAUUCCAGGUGUAGCGGUGAAAUGCGUAGAUAUCUGGAGGAACACCGGUGGCGAAGGCGGCAUCCUGGACCGACAUUGACGCUGAGGCGCGAAAGCCAGGGGAGCAAACGGG
rnacentral:rRNA from 1 species